CAAUAGCGUAUAUUAAAGUUGUUGCAGUUAGAACGCUCGUAGUCGGAUUUCGGGGCGGGCCGACCGGUCUGCCGAUGGGUACGCACUGGUCGGCGCGUCCUUCCUUCCGGAGACCGUUCCUACUCUUAACUGAGCGGGGGCGGGAGACGGAUCGUUUACUUUGAAAAAAUCAGAGUGUUUCAAGCAGGCAGCUCGCUCUUGCAUGGAUUAGCAUGGGAUAAUGAAAUAGGACUUUGGUGCUAUUUUGUUGGUUUCGAACACCGAAGUAAUGAUUAAAAGGGACAGUCAGGGGCACUCGUAUUCCGCUGAGAGAGGUGAAAUUCUCAGACCAGCGGAAGACGAACUACUGCGAAAGCAUUUGCCAGGGAUGUUUUCACUGA
rnacentral:rRNA from 1 species